GAGAUGAUGCCACAUCUGGUCCAGCUGAUGGAAGGUCUUGAAGUUCUCUGACUGGCCUCGACUGAAGAUGGUCGUCUCACUGGAUUUAAGGUUCAGAUUCUCAGUAACAAACUCCACCAAUGUGCCAACAGGGAAGCUUUAGGUUUAUUAAAUGUUGCUAUGAAGGUUUCGCUGUUUUUCUUUGUGAAUGCAAUGAGCUCCAACUGAAACUUGAAUUAGAACUUAGAAGUAAAUCCUUCCAUCUGAAAGGAUUUAGUUGCAUUAAUAACCUCACAACAUUCUAAUUUUUAUUCCAGUGUUGGCUGGAAAUAGAAUCUCUGUAUUGAUUCAGGUAAAAACUGAACUUCACAGCAUGUUGGAGCAAAACAACCAGAUGAAAACUGUGAUGGUGUUGGAUUGUCAGACCGUAAUGUUGCAGCUCAAAGCAGCUUUUCUAUCUCAGUUCAUUCUGACAUUCAGCUAUGAAUCAACACAGCAGAUGGUGAUCCAUGCUGUGGAAGUCUCACAUCUCCUGAUUUAAUGGAGCUGCUUUGCACUUUUUACACUGUUUAUUCACCAACACUUUAUUUAAUAAAAGUCCCAUCUAGUUUUUAUGAGGAAUGUGAUGUUUUAAUUUCUCUGUGAAUAACUGCAGUCUAAUGCAACAGCUGGAGUUGUAACAUCUGUCCUGAUAUUGAUCAUGAAGUAUUGAUCACAAUACUUAUGGUUAGCAGUCAUCCCUGAAGUUUUACAUUAAAAUCUUUACUUGUGUUGUGAACUUUGGUAAGAAGCAGAAACGUUAGCGUUGCCAUGGAUACAUGAGUGUUAAAUUCUGUCCAUGUUUCCAUUUUGGGAAAUUCAGUCCAGUUCCAGAAUGUGGAGGAAUUUAGUCUCAAUCACAAACAACAAAUAUUACCUGAAAGUUGGGUUAUUGUUGUUUAUCAGCACAAUACAAAAAGAUUAAUGUUAGAAAUAUUCCAGUUAAGACUCUAGAAUAUCAUGAUUUAUGUAAAUUUACCUCAAUAAUAUGAAUGUUCAGGUUAAGCUUGUACAGUGAUAUUUAUUAUGUAAGUUUAGCUGAUGAAAGUUUAUGACUCUGCACUAAAAUAUUAUUUAAAUUGACAUCAUUAUUAUAAUAUUUAGGGUCAGACCCUACAGUAUUGAGAUUAAGAAAUCAAAUAUUCUAUAAAAUGUAAAUACACUGAACUCAUUUGGAUAUAUUUAAGUGAGACUCUACAAUAUUAUUUGACACAAAUCUAUCUAAAUCAAAAUUUUAAUAAUUUUCACGCCAAACAUUUACUGGACUGAUUUAAAUAUUAAAAUCACUCCUUUCUAAUCCUCUGCUGUACGUUCAAACCUGAGGCCUUAAAUAGAAGCACACAAGUAUCUGAUUGAAGGAACUUCUGCAGAGUCCUGGUUCCAGAACAUGAUGAUAGAAUUAUAGACAAACUUUAACAAAAGCUGCCUGAGAGUUUACAGGUUUUUAUGUUGGAUUUCUUCAGUAAUUUAAUGAGCGUUAUCAGCAAUAAUCAAGUGUUCAUUUGAUGAACUUCAUUUCCUAAAACAUCCAGAAUUGGAGCUCAUAUCUUUGGCAGCUGUAAAGUUUCUGCUCCUUCAAAGUUCACAACACAAUGAAUGAAUUCCUAAAACACUCUCAAUGCUGGAGAGCGUUUGUGAUGCUGAAGCAGUGACCAGUUUUUCUGUUUCUUCUCUGGAGAUGCACAAUGAGGGACGUCUGCAGAGACUGAAAAGAGUGUCACCACAUCCUGACAUGAGGAAAAAGACUUUAUUGAAGACUACAAUGAGAAAAACUAUCAGGCAGCAGACGGCUGCAUUCAAGAGAGGAAGACCAUCAAACAUCCACAUCAGCUGAUGGAGGUCCAAGAGUCUCACCAAACAAACAACCUACAGAGUGAAGACCUCGAAUCUGAUUGGACGGCCUCCUAUUCAGCCACGUGUGAACAAAUGCCUCUAAGCUGAUUUGUUUUCUAAAAUAAAUCUAGUUUGAGUCCUAA